GGCUAGGUGGCAGAGUUGGUAAUGCAGCGGAUUGCAAAUCCGUCUUUCAUCGGUUCAAAUCCGAUCCUAGCCUCCA
rnacentral:tRNA from 1 species